AUUGAACGCUGGCGGCAGGCCUAACACAUGCAAGUCGAGCGGAUGAGGGAAGCUUGCUUCCCGAUUUAGCGGCGGACGGGUGAGUAAUGCCUAGGAAUCUGCCUAUUAGUGGGGGAUAACGUUCCGAAAGGAACGCUAAUACCGCAUACGUCCUACGGGAGAAAGUGGGGGAUCUUCGGACCUCACGCUAAUAGAUGAGCCUAGGUCGGAUUAGCUAGUUGGUGGGGUAACGGUGCACCAAGGCGACGAUCCGUAGCAGGUCUGAGAGGAUGAUCAGCCACACUGGAACUGGGACACGGUCCAGGCUCCUACGGGGGGUAGCAGUGGGGAAUAUUGGACAAUGGGCGCAAGCCUGAUCCAGCCAUGCCGCGUGUGUGAAGAAGGCCUUAUGGUUGUAAAGCACUUUAAGCGAGGAGGAGGCUACUUUAGUUAAUACCUAGAGAUAGUGGACGUUACUCGCAGAAUAAGCACCGGCUAACUCUGUGCCAGCAGCCGCAGUAAUAC
rnacentral:rRNA from 1 species